rnacentral:rRNA from 1 species
GACGAACGCUGGCGGCGUGCUUAACACAUGCAAGUCGAACGGAAAGGCCCUGCUUUUGUGGGGUGCUCGAGUGGCGAACGGGUGAGUAACACGUGAGUAACCUGCCCUUGACUUUGGGAUAACUUCAGGAAACUGGGGCUAAUACCGGAUAGGAGCUCCUGCUGCAUGGUGGGGGUUGGAAAGUUUCGGCGGUUGGGGAUGGACUCGCGGCUUAUCAGCUUGUUGGUGGGGUAGUGGCUUACCAAGGCUUUGACGGGUAGCCGGCCUGGGAGGGUGACCGGCCACAAUGGGACUGAGAUACGGACCAGACUGCAACAGUGGGCAGCAGUGGGGAGUAUUGUACAGUGGGCGGAAGCCUGAUGCAGCGACGCCGCGUGCGGGAUGACGGCCUUCGGGUUAAAAACCGCUUUCGCCUGUGACGAAGCGUGAGUGACGGUAAUGGAUAAAGAAGCACCGGCUAACUACGUG